GAACUUGUGUGCCUAGUGCACACGUACAAGCCUAAGCUUGUGUUCUUAUCAGAAACUCGGCAAAGCAACUCUUAUGUCAAUAAGUUGAGAUGGAGGUUAGGUCUUAAACAUUGUAUAGCGCAGCCUGGCGUUGGUAAGGGUGCCGGUAUUGCGCUCUUUUAUGAUGAAAGUGUCGAAGUAAUAAAGCUUGCCGUUGGCCCGAGGUACAUUGAUGUGUUAAUUCGUUUACAUUCCAGUGAUAUGCAAUGGCGAGGUACCUUUAUUUACGGUGAACCUAGAGCUCAUGAAAGGCACAAUAUGUGGGAAGUAUUGAGAAGAAUCAAGGGCCAGUCUAACGCACCAUGGUUGAUGGUUGGAGACUUUGACGAGACGAUGUGGCAAUCGGAACAUCUCUCGGCUUCAAAUAGGUCGGAGAAGCACAUGGAGAACUUUAGGAGAGUGCUCUCGGAUUGUAACCUAUUUGAUCUUGGGUAUAAGGGUCCCAGCUGGACAUACAACAACAAGCAGGGAGGAAGGAAAAAUGUAAGGGCCAGGUUGGACAGGGGGGUCGCAUCACCUGCUUGGACUGAAAAGUUCAAAAAUUCCUCAAUGGAACACAUCUGU
rnacentral:rRNA from 1 species